CGGGGACAGCCGGACGGGGAUGGCCGGACCCGGACGAGACUCUCCUCUUUUCACCAUGUUGAUCGCUCUGCGCAAGCACGUGGUCACGUGGUCGCGAGUGGGAAAGCUGCAGAGGCAAAACUGGACCAGGAGGAAACUACCGAACCAGAGGGCAACGCUUGAACAACAGGACGACGGCCAACCGAUAGGAGGCCGAAGGAGUGAAUCUCUAAAUUCCAAUAAAAAAGGUCAAAUACCAUCUA